rnacentral:rRNA from 1 species
UGGUGGAGUGAUUUGUCUGGUUUAUUCCGAUAACGAACGAGACUCUAGCCUAUUAAUUGGUGUGACGAGCAAGCCCCCAAAUAAUACUUGGGUGGUAACGCCGUCGAAACGCUUCUUGUUAGAGGGACAAGUGUCGUGAGGCACUCGAAGUUGAGCAAUAACA